UACAGAGGGUGCAAGCGUUGUUCGGAAUUAUUGGGCGUAAAGCGCGUGUAGGCGGCUUUGCAAGUCGGGUGUGAAAGCCCUCAGCUUAACUGAGGAAGUGCGCCCGAAACUGCAUGGCUUGAGUACCGGAGAGGAUGGCGGAAUUCCCGAAGUAGAGGUGAAAUUCGUAGAUAUCGGGAGGAACACCGGUGGCGAAGGCGGCCAUCUGGACGGAUACUGACGCUGAGACGCGAAAGCGUGGGUAGCAAACAGG
rnacentral:rRNA from 1 species